GAUGAACGCUGGCGGCGUGCCUAAUACAUGCAAGUCGAGCGAAUGGAUUAAGAGCUUGCUCUUAUGAAGUUAGCGGCGGACGGGUGAGUAACACGUGGGUAACCUGCCCAUAAGACUGGGAUAACUCCGGGAAACCGGGGCUAAUACCGGAUAACAUUUUGAACCGCAUGGUUCGAAAUUGAAAGGCGGCUUCGGCUGUCACUUAUGGAUGGACCCGCGUCGCAUUAGCUAGUUGGGGAGGUAACGGCUCACCAAGGCAACGAUGCGUAGCCGACCUGAGAGGGGGAUCGGCCACACUGGGACUGAGACGCGGCCCAGACUCCUACGGGAGGCAGCAGUAGGGAAUCUUCCGCAAUGGACGAAAGUCUGACGGAGCAACGCCGCGUGAGUGAUGAAGGCUUUCGGGUCGUAAAACUCUGUUGUUAGGGAAGAACAAGUGCUAGUUGAAUAAGCUGGCACCUUGACGGUACCUAACCAGAAAGCCACGGCUAACUACGUGCCAGCCGCCGCGGUAA
rnacentral:rRNA from 1 species